GCACUGCUGAAGAGUCCCACAACAGGACGAAACGGCCGUCCAGUGC
rfam:Schistosoma rodhaini strain Burundi genome assembly, scaffold: SROB_scaffold0006908